GGAAUUUGGCAUUAUAUUCAACCUCACACACCAGCUUUAUUACACUCAAAAACUUUAUUAGUGUAAUAGCAUAUU